GAUACAAGCGAAGGCCAUGCGUUCUGGGAGACCAGACUACUUAAGCACGGCAUGACAGAAUGUAUACUCAGUAUAGUUCGUUAUCGUUCUGACUGUCGUUUCAUCGGAUGUUUGCUGGGAAGACUGACCGACCGGCUCACCAGUACCGGGGGCAGGUUUAUUUGUCUUCAGGUUCAGGAAUUUGUCUUCAGGAUCUUCAGGAAUAACGGAUGUCGACAGAGUGAGCUGCCUGUUGAGGCAUGAAGGCACCAACCUCGACUCCAUGUGCUGCGUGUGCGUUCCUUCACAACCAACAUGGCGCGACCAGUCUCACUUCCCAUGAACCAACAUGCAGCCUCGGUAAUAACUCGGUGCAGAUGAGAAUCCCGACUGGACGGAAACUAGAUCAAGUCCCAGCGACCCACUUCCUUGAGCCGUAAAUCAAGACCGGAUCAUCCAAUCGGCACAACAGGCAGUGUCCCUUCGCAGGGCCUACGGACAUUUCUAGGGCCUUGUAAA